UACGUAUGGGGCAAGCGUUAUCCGGAUUUACUGGGUGUAAAGGGAGCGUAGGCGGCCUGGCAAGUCUGGUGUGAAAUCCCGGGGCCCAACCCCGGGGCUGCAUUGGAAACUGCCAGGCUGGAGUGCCGGAGGGGCAGGCGGAAUUCCUAGUGUAGCGGUGAAAUGCGUAGAUAUUAGGAGGAACACCGGUGGCGAAGGCGGCCUGCUGGACGGCAACUGACGCUGAGGCUCGAAAGCGUGGGGAGCAAACAGG
rnacentral:rRNA from 1 species